UUAGACUAAGUGCUGUGAGAUUCACAAAUUGGGAGAGGCAAGUAAAAGCUCUGACUCGACGAGACCAGGAAAAUAACUGUAUGCUUGGCAUCAGUUAGUUGCUUGAGUACUUAGGAUCAGCCACUACAUAAUGAUAAGCAAUAACAAAUACAAAAAUAAAGAUGCCAACAAAGUUAGCAAAGAAUCCCAAAUCUUGAUCAUCCAUUAUCUGCAAGAGGAAAUUGAAGCGCCAAUACUUAGGACAAAAUGAAAACUAUUACAUUGAGUUACACAAGUUAGAUUUACAACAACUUUGCAAUGACUGGCUUCCGGAAAGGACACAGCAGCACGCGUUCACGCAGGGUCCGGGAAAUGGCCACACCCCAAGGGUGUGAUGUAGGCAACGUAACCUAAUGCAAGCAUUAGUGGCUGUUUCUACGACGAGACCUAUAGGUCACACGGAGACAACUUUACCGUUGCUCCAAGGCAUCCCUUCUCUGGUUCCCGGAAACUAGAUCAGAAAUAAAACAAGGGACAUAAUUCCUUCCAAAACCACAAGAAUGAAUAAUACUGAACUAAUAGAUGCUAAUUGAAGUGAAAGUCCAUAUAAGAAAGCAAGUGUGUUAAACACAAUAGUUAAUUUCCUGAAAUAACCUUUUACUUUUCAUCAGUCCCUGUAUCUUUUCAAGGUAACCAUGUAAAGUGACUAAAAUAUUAUCAUGAAACAAUCGACAUUCAAUUCUUUUUGGAACCAGAGUAUUGGUAUAGCACAAAACUAUAAGAACUUCAACCUAUGUCUGUGCAAACUGGACUAUAUCUUUUUAUUUCUCUUUUGAGGACAAGCACUUGGCGAAAUAACAUCUUUCUUAUUAUUUAGUGCAAAAUGGAUUUGAACAAGCAAAGAUCCCUUUCUUAUUCCUAUUGCUACAUAGUUAUUUUAUCUCAUUUGUUGGAAAAUGAUUUCAAUUGAUUUGUUUUACACCCUACUUUCAUUGUUUUGGGGAGACAUCUCGCUUUUGUGCAUAUUCUCUUUUAAACUUAACCCUGACUCGGGCAGUGAUCUCAUUGCUCUCACUAUGUACAUCCAAUGCACUGAUGAGAGCACAAGUUACUGACUAUCACAGAGGAUUACAAAGCCAAAUUAUUUUAGAGUUAUCCAUUUUCUGGAAUGAGAUAUGAACUUAUGAUACUACCUUUCAUUUUUUAAAAGAAUUAAGAAACACAAACCCAAGGUAUUGGUCCUCCUCCUUAGCACUAGAUCAAAGCCUCACCGACCAAGUUAGGUACCUAUAUGCACAGCAUUCACUUGUUUAAAACUCCAAAGCUCUACAACAGCUCCCUUACACAUGUCGACAAUCUAAACCAUUCGAUACCUUAAAAUUCUGUGUCUCAACAUACCUAAUGAUCUACCACAGUCAGGCAUCAAUCCAACUGCCACAACCUAAGACUUCUACAGAAAGAAAAAUGAAGGCAAUUCGGAGCAUAAAGCAUCCCGCAACUCGGCACCCCGAGGGGUGUGAUGUAGAUAGCCUACCCUAAUGCUAACACUUCUAUAGAGAAUGCUUAAAUUAAAUUCGCGAACCUAACGUCACGGUCAACACCCACACAAAUCUACACUUCCUAAAAAUAUUAAGACAAAGUUCUUCCUAAAAAUAUUUAGUUACACUUUACACACCAGUGAUCAAUGACAAUUUAGAGUUAUCCAAUUCCGCAAAAUAGUUAUGAAUUACCUCUUUUCUCAAUAAUUAAGAACCACAACCUCAAGGUAGCGGUCUUUCUCUUUACCACUAGAGCAAAGCUCCAUUGCGCAAGUUAGGUACCUAUCAUGAGGACAGCAUUCACUUGUUUAGCUCAAAAUACUAAAGCUCUACAAGCGCUCCUUACACUUGUUGACAAUUUAAAACCACUUCGAUACCUUAAAAUUCUGUGUCUCAAUGUACCUAAUGGUGAACGCAUCUACCCAGUUAGCCAAACUGUUACAACCUAACAUUUUUAUAAAGAAUGCUUAAAUCAAACCUAACAUCAUGGUAAACACCCAUACAAAUCUAUGCUUACUAUAAAAUUUUAAGGUGCAGUUCUUCUUCUUUCAAUUGCUUAACUAAUACCCUUGAGACUUUCAAGUACUUCCCCUAGAUUGGUAAAGGGAGACUUUUGCUAAACAAACUCCCAAAACCAAUGCAAUGAAAAAAAUGAAAAAUUAAACUCAUAUCAACUACACAACCAUCUCUUGUGCCAAGGCAAAAGUUUACAGGAAUAAAACCAUCAAUCGUCGUCGGAAACAGUCUCUCUACCUCCACAAGAUAGGGAUAUGGUCUGUGUACACACUACCCGCCCUAAAUCCCGCUUGUGGGAUUAUACUGGAUAUAUUGUUGUUGUAAACCAUCAAACCAGUGAAAACCAGCCUGCAUUUCCAAUAGAAAUAUCUUUGGUGGCAUAAUUUGCCCAUAAUCCAGUAAAAUGCCCAAUCAAAACAAAAAUUACUUAGCAGUUGCACCAAGUUCAUAACUAUUAAGUAUAUGCAGAGGAAGCAGAUAUUAAUGCCUCCCAAACUGAUCACCUCGAGCUCUUUUUUUGGACAAUGGUGGUGUCCGAGCAAGUUUGUGCGCCUCUCGACUAUUCCACCGAUACCUGCCACCUCCCACCAGCAGGUAUUGGGUAACAUAAGCGAAGAAAUCAACUAGUGUGUUUUGUUUCUGCUCGGAUUCUUGGUCACCUCAGGCUUAUAUCCCAAUAAGUACAAACACAAAAUAUGAAACCAAAAAAAAAAAGGUGCAAAAUAUAAGUAGUGAUCACAGUGGGAUUCGAACCCACGACCUUUAGAUUCGGAGUCUAACGCGAU
rnacentral:lncRNA from 1 species